AUUGAACGCUAGCGGGAUGCUUUACACAUGCAAGUCGAACGGAGUGGCGUACUUGUUCCUAAUAUAUCUUAACGUGCCCUGUAGCUGGGGAUAACUACUCGACAGUGUGCCUAAUCCCGCAUACUCUUCGAUCGGCCUAUAUCCGAUUAGCUAGUUGGUGGGGUAAAGGUUCACCAAGGCAACGAUCCGUAGCUGGUUUGAGAGGACGACCAGCCACACUGGAACUGGGACACGGCCCAGACUCCUACGGUAGGCAGCAGUGGGGAAUUUUGGACAAUGGGGGAAACCCUGUUCCAUCCAUCCCUCGUGUAUGAUGAUGGCCUUCGGUUUGUAAAGUACUUUUGGCAGAGAAGGGGUAACUGAAGAAAAAGCAACGGCUAACUACGUGCCAGCAGCCGCGGUAAUUG
rnacentral:rRNA from 1 species